rnacentral:lncRNA from 1 species
AGCCAGGCUGUUGGAGAACUCUGAGUAUGGAUGAGGAUGCAUGAAGGUCCCUUCACCUACAUGAAAGGGAGAACGUGGGUGCUUGCUCUGAAGAUACAAGAAAAUAGGAGCUCACAGAAAGCAGGAGCAGAGUUGUUGGAGUACCCAGAAAACCUGUGGUCCUGGGGAACGUGGUGCCCCGUCUGCUGA